UACGUAGGUGGCAAGCGUUAUCCGGAUUUAUUGGGUGUAAAGGGCGUGUAGGCGGGAGCGCAAGUCAGAUGUGAAAACUCAGGGCUCAACCCUGAGCCUGCAUUUGAAACUGUGUUUCUUGAGUGCUGGAGAGGCAAUCGGAAUUCCGUGUGUAGCGGUGAAAUGCGUAGAUAUACGGAGGAGCACCAGUGGCGAAGGCGGAUUGCUGGACAGUAACUGACGCUGAGGCGCGAAAGCGUGGGGAGCAAACAGG
rnacentral:rRNA from 1 species